ACUCCUACGGGAGGCAGCAGUGGGGAAUAUUGCACAAUGGGCGCAAGCCUGAUGCAGCCAUGCCGCGUGUGUGAAGAAGGCCUUCGGGUUGUAAAGCACUUUCAGUUGUGAGGAAGGUGGUGUCGUUAAUAGCGGCAUCAUUUGACGUUAGCAACAGAAGAAGCACCGGCUAACUCCGUGCCAGCAGCCGCGGUAAUACGGAGGGUGCGAGCGUUAAUCGGAAUUACUGGGCGUAAAGCGCAUGCAGGUGGUUUGUUAAGUCAGAUGUGAAAGCCCGGGGCUCAACCUCGGAACUGCAUUUGAAACUGGCAGACUAGAGUACUGUAGAGGGGGGUAGAAUUUCAGGUGUAGCGGUGAAAUGCGUAGAGAUCUGAAGGAUACCGGUGGCAAGGCGGCCCCCUGGACAGAUACUGACACUCAGAUGCGAAAGCGUGGGGAGCAAACAGGAUUAGAUACCCUGGUAGCACAGAG
rnacentral:rRNA from 1 species